GCGAAUGGCUCAUUAAAUCAGUUAUCGUUUAUUUGAUAGUACCUUACUACAUGGAUAACCGUGGUAAUUCUAGAGCUAAUACAUGCUGAAAAUCCCGACUUCGGAAGGGAUGUAUUUAUUAGAUUAAAAACCAAUGCCCUUCGGGGCUCUCUGGUGAUUCAUGAUAACUUCUCGAAUCGCAUGGCCUUGCGCCGGCGAUGGUUCAUUCAAAUUUCUGCCCUAUCAACUUUCGACUGCUGGGUCUUGGCCAGCAAUGGUGACAACGGGUAACGGAGGGUUAGGGCUCGACCCCGGAGAAGGAGCCUGAGAGACGGCUACUACAUCCAAGGAAGGCAGCAGGCGCGCAAAUUACCCAAUCCCGACACGGGGAGGUAGUGACAAUAAAUACUGAUACAGGGCUCUUUUGGGUCUUGUAAUUGGAAUGAGUACAAUUUAAAUCCCUUAACGAGGAACAAUUGGAGGGCAAGUCUGGUGCCAGCAGCCGCGGUAAUUCCAGCUCCAAUAGCGUAUAUUAAAGUUGUUGCAGUUAAAAAGCUCGUAGUUGAACCUUGGGCCUGGCCGGCCGGUCCGCCUCACCGCGUGCACUGGUACGGUCGGGCCUUUCCCUCUGGGGAACCCCAUGCCCUUCACUGGGCGUGUGGGGAAACCAGGACUUUUACUUUGAAAAAAUUAGAGUGUUCAAAGCAGGCCUAUGCUCGAAUACAUUAGCAUGGAAUAAUAGAAUAGGACGUGCGGUUCUAUUUUGUUGGUUUCUAGAACCGCCGUAAUGAUUAAUAGGGACAGUCGGGGGCAUCAGUAUUCAAUUGUCAGAGGUGAAAUUCUUGGAUUUAUUGAAGACUAACUACUGCGAAAGCAUUUGCCAAGGAUGUUUUCAUUAAUCAGGAACGAAAGUUAGGGGAUCGAAGACGAUCAGAUACCGUCGUAGUCUUAACCAUAAACUAUGCCGACUAGGGAUCGGACGAUGUUACUUUUUGACUCGUUCGGCACCUUACACG
rnacentral:rRNA from 1 species